CCUACGGGAGGCAGUAGUGAGGAAUAUUGGUCAAUGGGCUUACGCCUGAACCAGCCAAGUCGCGUGAGGGAAGACUGCCCUAUGGGUUGUAAACCUCUUUUGUCAGGGAGCAAUUGGCGCUACGUGUAGCGUUAUCGAGAGUACCUGAAGAAAAAGCAUCGGCUAACUCCGUGCCAGCAGCCGCGGUAAUACGGAGGAUGCGAGCGUUAUCCGGAUUGAUUGGGUUUAAAGGGUGCGUAGGCGGAAUGCCAAGUCAGCGGUAAAAUCGCGGGGCUCAACCUCGCUCCGCCGUUGAAACUGGCGUUCUUGAGUGGGCGAGAAGUAUGCGGAAUGCGUGGUGUAGCGGUGAAAUGCAUAGAUAUCACGCAGAACUCCGAUUGCGAAGGCAGCAUACCGGCGCCCAACUGACGCUGAAGCACGAAAGCGUGGGUAUCGAACAGGAUUAGAUACCCCUGUAGUC
rnacentral:rRNA from 1 species